GAAAUGCGAUAAGUAAUGUGAAUUGCAGAAUUCCGUGAAUCAUCGAAUCUUUGAACGCACAUUGCGCCCUCUGGUAUUCCGGGGGCAUGCCUGUCCGAGCGUCAUUGCGAACCCCUCAAGCACGGCUUGUGUGAUGGGCCCUCCCGCGUCUUGGUCGUCAAGACGGGCCCGAAAUGCAGUGGCGGCUUCGCGGUUAUCCGAUCAGCCAGAGCGUAUGGGGACUCUCUCUCUUGUCACACGCCCGCGGCGCGGACCGACGCCUGUCGACCUUUAUUCAUCUUCUCUCGGAUGACCUCGGAUCAGGUAGGGAUACCCGCUGAACUUAAGC
rnacentral:misc_RNA from 1 species